CUCGGCCUCCUGUGCCUACUGAGCUGAUACGCAGUUGCUUUGGUUACACUGGCUCAGUUCAGCAGGAACAGG
rnacentral:pre_miRNA from 1 species